rnacentral:rRNA from 1 species
GACGAACGCUGGCGGCGUGCUUAACACAUGCAAGUCGAACGGAAAGGCCCUGCUUUUGUGGGUUGCUCGAGUGGCGAACGGGUGAGUAACACGUGAGUAACCUGCCUUUGACUUUGGGAUAACUUCAGGAAACUGGGGCUAAUACCGGAUAGGAGCUCCUGCGGCAUGGUGGGGGUUGGAAAGUUUCGGCGGUUGGGGAUGGACUCGCGGCGUAUCAGCUUGUUGGUGGGGUAGUGGCUUACCAAGGCUUUGACGGGUCGCCGGCCUGAGAGGGUGACCGGCCACAUGGGGACUUAGAUACGGCCCAGACUCCUACGGGAGGCAGCAGUGGGGAAUAUUGCACAAUGGGCGGAAGCCUGAUGCAGCAACGCCGCGUGCGGGAUGACGGCCUUCGGGUUGUAAACCGCUUUCGCCUGUGACGAAGCGUGAGUGACGGUAAUGGGUAAAGAAGCACCGGCUAACUACGUG